UGGCGUUAAUAGCGCAGAGGUCACACCCGUUCCCAUGCCGAACACGGAAGUUAAGCUCUGCUACGGCGAUGAUAGUGCUUAGGCGCGAAAGUAGCGAGAUGCCAGGUA
rnacentral:rRNA from 1 species